AAGUAUGCAUGUUAGCAUACUAGUUUUAUUUAAUAUAUUUUUGCAACAUUGUUAAAAAAGAACACUGAAAAAUGAUUUGUGUUUUCCAUAUAAUCCAACCUUGUCUAGGUUUAAGAGAUAGAUAAGUUACUAUAAUUGUUCCUGCCUGUGGUUGCAUCGAUACCAUGCCUUCUAUUAAUGAUAACCGUUUUCUCCAUCAACAUGGAUUGUUGUCUCCCACGAUCUACUGAGCCUUCGCUCCUGCUCCAUAGUUGCUACAAUGUGCACCAAAUUGCCUUCUUCCAAUCAAGCACGUCACUUAGGAUGGGCUCAACCUCUCCAAUCAAACGAGCUUGAACUAUCAGUAAAUUAUCAGAUUCAAUUACAAUUUUUUCAAAACCCAACUUUCUCUAAGAUAACAGCAUUACAAUCUUCUCUGCUGCACCAAUUAACAACUUUCCUCUAUUGUCCCUUACUAUAACUGCAAUUGCACCUUCCUCUAAGUCCUUCCCGUGGUGGCUUCCAGCUGAGGCACUUAUUCUGAUCUUCCACACAUUGCUUAGGAACCAAUCUCCAAAAGUAGAUGCUGUUUCUGCAGUUGGACACAACUGACUUUACGCCCCAACCGACUCUCAGGCAUAGUUUGUCCUGCUCAAUGUUUGAACUCACCUAUCCUUGGAUUGGGUGAGAGUCGGCUCUUCCAAGAACGGCGACGGUGGGCACCUGCAAAAGCACUUUAACGCUCAAGUUAGUAAAAGCAGAAGAUACAUGAAGUACUUCUCUCGUGUCAGGAGUGGAUGUAUUUAUAGAGUUGUUGUAUUACAGGAGCUUACUUAGUGGGUCUAAUAUUGUGGAGUUGCUUAAAAUGUGAA